AUACAGUCCCUUUUGCUGCUAAGCGACAACAACGGCCGAAGAACUACAUAUCAAGAUCAAGAUCCAGAUCCCCAAUUCCAUCUAAUUGUCUAAAUUUGAUUAUAUUGUUUACAAAACUAAAGUCGCCAAAUCUGAAGUCGGAUGCCCAUAAACUGUUGAUUGGAGACAGAUCGGAACUAAUUCUGAGAUCAGAUUAAAUGGAAGAAGAAUCUAUUGUUGUUCGUGACUUGAGUAGCUUUAAGAUGGCAGGGGUGAUGUUGCUGAUUAAUGGACUGAUUCUGAUCAAGAAGAAGAAAGUUUUUGGUCAUUUGUUGUUUGGUAUGUGCGGCUUCGGAAAUUUGUCACUAAUGGGUUACUAGAUUGGCCUGUCAACUCGCUCCCAGAUUCAGAUCUGUGUCUAGAGGUUACUAGAUCGGACUGUCAACUGGCUCCCAAAUUCAGAUAUGUGUCUAAUGCGGACUAGAGUAGUGGAGAACAUUCUGACACUUACUCAUCCAGUUCCAGCUAAUUUGACUCUAUUAAUGGACUGCUACAAAGAACAUGAAAACGAAACUAUAGAGGACUUGAAAGAGGGAUAUAGUGAUUUCAUGAUGGAUGAAAGACCCUUACAGCAUUUGCUACUGCUUUUACAUUACUAAGCUUUAAUGUUGGUGACAGCAAUAGAAAGGAUUUUGCAGUUUUGGAUUUGCAUCUAGGAUUGGUCUUUUUCUUAUCACAUUUUCAAUCAGAACAGGUCUUUCUCAUAGUGCAACCUAAAGAGAAGUAAGUUAUGACCCCCGACCAUCAAAUCGCCGCCAUAGGUCUUUGAAGUCUCGGUCUUUAGCCUUCUCCUCAUUUUCCCGUACUGCUGCUUUGGUUGCUUCCAACUCCAUCAAAUUGCAGCAGCUCAGCUCUUCUAAGUUGGACAAGAAAGUUCCCCUCAAAUCCCAAGGAUUUUGCAGUUUUUGAAUCGCAUCUAGGAUUGGUCUUUUUUAUCUCGUUUGCUGCAUCUGUUUCAACCUCUUUGUUGGAGAGUUGUAAAGAAAAGGACACCAAACCCGUCAAGCAGCUCAAGGAUUUUUUGCUUCGAGCAUGUAAAGAAAAGGACAUUGUAGGUGACUUGAGAAUACUUUUGGGUGAGCAAGCACGGGAUGUAGGACUCUUGGUCAUCAAGCAUGUGAAUAAUUUGCCUCCUGAGCUUCUGCCUCCACUUUAUAAUAUACUCUUCAAUGCAGUGGCACAGGCAGCGAAACAUCAGCCAACUUAUUUCAAAGUCAAGGUUUAUCUACUGGUUACCCGAAUUUACAAGCCAUUUGAUGCCAAUUGCCAAGCAACCGAAAGGUGUUCCAAAAAGUGAUGGUGACACCCCAAUAAUAUAUGUAUGGCCUGAGGAUGAAGUUUUUCAUAAGCUAAGCUCAUGGACCUUCUUCUUCCGUCUACGAUCUCGGCCAACUGACGAGAUGAAGAACUACAAACCCAUGGGACUAGUCAUGUCCCUAGAAGCAAAAAAAGUUCCCACUUUUCAGAAAGAGCCGCAAUCUCUAAUUAGUGAAUCUUGAGGACAUUAAAAGCAAUGCUGUAGCUACGGUUUAAUUGCGGACAUUAAAAGCAAUGGUGUAGCUGCUAUCAUUACUAUAAGGUUCUAAUCUAUCUGUUCGGAUUGGAAUUAGCGAUUCAUCUCCAAGGGUAUCAGAGUUUCAGAGACAAUCUGCGGUUUGAGAAGAAAUCAUGUUUUCCACUUUUGUCCUUGAAUUUAAAUACCAAGAGCUUGAAAUCAAGAAAUUCUUUAAGAGCAUGCAUGUCUGUACAACAAGUGAAUGUACCAAAGGUUUCGGUAUCACCUUUAGAACUAGAGGAUCAUCUAGACCCACCUCUCAAUCUGCGCAAACCUAAGGAGCCUUAUACUGCAACAAUUGUUUGUGGAAAGGAUCGUUGGUCCAAAAGCUCCUGGAGAGACUUGCCAUGUGGUGAUCGAUCAUGGUGGUAAUGCUCCUUACUGGGAAGGACAAAGUUAUGGUGUUAUACCACCUGUUUGGAGAUUCUUUGGAAAGACUGCCAGUUUAUGUGUCCGUCGUGCUGUAUAUUACGACCCUGAGACUGGAAAGGAAGAUCACUCUAAAAAUGGAGUUUGUAGCAACUUCCUUUGCAACUCAAAGCCAGGAGACAAAGUUCAAAGUCACAGGUCCUUCUGGCAAAAUAAUGCUUUUACCCACAGAUAUGGCUCCAUAUAGAGGAUACCUGCGUCGCAUGUUCAUGGAAUCCGUCCCCACGUAUAAGUUUGGUGGACUUGCAUGGCUUUUCCUUGGUGUGGCCAACUCUGAUAGUCUUCUGUACGAUGAAGAAUUUUCGAAGUACCAGAGAGAUUACCCAGAUAACUUCCGAUUUGACCGUGCCCUCCGCAGAGAACAGAAGAAUAAAACAGGCGGAAAGAUGUACGUUCAAGAUAAGAUGGAGGAGUACAGUGAUGGAGUUUUUAAGCUCUUAGAUGAAGGUGCUCAUAUAUAUUUCUGCGGGUUGAAAGGUAUGACUCCUGGAAUCCAAGACACACUAAAAAGAGUUGCUGAGCAGAGAGGUGAAAACUGGGAAACAAAACCCUCGCAACUGAAAAAGAAUAAGCAGUGGCAUGUGGAGGAGAUAUGUUUGAUGAUUAUGAAACCUGCGUUAAACUUCUUAUCAAAUUGAUGGAGGAAAGUUCAGGGUUUGCGGUUGCAGUGUGUGAUAAAGAGUAUUUCUAUUACUAUGCAGCGCAGAUAAAAGCCAAGAUGCUUUGUAGCUUUUCUACCAUGUUUUUAGCAAUUUUUAAUCGGUUGGGCCAACAAAGUGUAGAUUGGUUGAAGGAAGAGAAAGCUGCACCUGAGGUUCUUCUUUCGGAAUCUGAGGAGUCUAUUAAACGUUUGGACAGAAACGUGAAGAUGAUGGAUGACAAUCUUCAGAGUGAUAUAAAUAAACUAAAGGAAGGACGUCUCCAAUAUCUCCAGAGUUUCCUCCAUGAAUUUCACCGAACUCAGAAUGAAAUCCAGGCUUACCUUGAUGCAAACAAGGAAGAUGAGAAUGCUCACAGAAGACGUAUGCAAAUAGAAGACCAUCUCCUACGUCUCAAUAGAUUAUACGAAGAUGUCAAGAAUACAAUCUCUCACGUGCAAGUCGACUUGCGUUCAUUGACUAAACUUGCCCGUUCUUGUAAUCAGACAUUGGGGACUCUAGAGGAAACAAUCCCAAUGCUGGAAACUAAUUUCUUUGAACUUGUGCGUAGAAGCGAGAAUGAUGUUUCAAAGAAGUGGUUGGAGGCAACACGUUACAUGGACGAGCAUCCCCUAGUCCGGAGAGAGAAGGAAUUAGAUGAGAAAGCAAGAGCUGAUCGUGAUAUGCAGUGGGAGCAGACUAAGCUCUCUUCCGGGCUCCUCCAUUAGAACUAUGGAUGUGCUUUGUAAGGUCUUUAACCAUAAUUGCGCCUUUGUUGGAACAAAGGCCAGUUUCUGACUCCUGCAACUCAACUUUCUGAAUAUUACUGUGUUGGACUAUAAUUAUCUGCACUAGUAGUUGUCCUAAACCAAUAUAGAAAUUACAAAGAGUUCUUGUUUGUUUGCUUACCAACUAGGUACAUGAGAUGUCUCAUAGUUAAUCAUGCUCUUUGUCGCCUUUUACCUGCAUAUAUAUGCUCUUUGUUUGCUUACCGACCAUAUAUUA